rnacentral:rRNA from 1 species
AUUGAACGCUGGCGGCAGGCCUAACACAUGCAAGUCGAGCGGUAGAGAGGUGCUUGCAUCUCUUGAGAGCGGCGGACGGGUGAGUAAUGCCUAGGAAUCUGCCUAGUGGUGGGGGAUAACGUUUCGGAAACGGACGCUAAUACCGCAUACGUCCUACGGGAGAAAGCGGGGGAUCUUCGGACCUCGCGCCAUUAGAUGAGCCUAGGUCGGAUUAGCUAGUUGGUGAGGUAAUGGCUCACCAAGGCGACGAUCCGUAACUGGUCUGAGAGGAUGAUCAGUCACACUGGAACUGAGACACGGUCCAGACUCCUACGGGAGGCAGCAGUGGGGAAUAUUGGACAAUGGGCGAAAGCCUGAUCCAGCCAUGCCGCGUGUGUGAAGAAGGUCUUUCGGAUUGUAAAGCACUUUAAGUU